rnacentral:rRNA from 1 species
UAGGGAAUCUUCGGCAAUGGGGGCAACCCUGACCGAGCAACGCCGCGUGAGUGAAGAAGGUUUUCGGAUCGUAAAGCUCUGUUGUAAGUCAAGAACGGGUGUGAGAGUGGAAAGUUCACACUGUGACGGUAGCUUACCAGAAAGGGACGGCUAACUACGUGCCAGCAGCCGCGGUAAUACGUAGGUCCCGAGCGUUGUCCGGAUUUAUUGGGCGUAAAGCGAGCGCAGGCGGUUUGAUAAGUCUGAAGUUAAAGGCUGUGGCUCAACCAUAGUUCGCUUUGGAAACUGUCAAACUUGAGUGCAGAAGGGGAGAGUGGAAUUCCAUGUGUAGCGGUGAAAUGCGUAGAUAUAUGGAGGAACACCGGUGGCGAAAGCGGCUCUCUGGUCUGUAACUGACGCUGAGGCUCGAAAGCGUGGGGAGCGAACAGGAUUAGAUACCCUGGUAGUCCACGCCGUAAACGAUGAGUGCUAGGUGUUGGAUCCUUUCCGGGAUUCAGUGCCGCAGCUAACGCAUUAAGCACUCCGCCUGGGGGAGUACGACCGCAAGGUUGAAACUCAAA